rnacentral:tRNA from 1 species
AAGUAUUUAGUCUAAAAAAGACUAUUGAUUUCGACUCAAUUGAUUUUGGCUUAAUCCAAAAAUACUUC